CGACUUAGCGGUGAUCAAUCUUAUAUAUUUUUUUUUAUAUAUCACUGUAAAUCGUCGUUGUGUACAUAAUAUACAGAAUAAAGAGAAUUCAAAAGGAGGAGAAGGAGGAGGAGGAUGAGGACCUCGCAAAAGGAAACCAUUAGAAUAUCAAAACAUAUUACUUACGCGAAAUUGAAUUUGGGAUAUUGUCAAGAGGAUAAAAUUAUACAUAUAUUAUACAUCAGAUAACACGCCCCGAAAUACUGCUGCAGACCAAACGUUUAUUUUGGCAUUAAAUAUAACAUUCUUUUAAUAUAUUAUUAAAGACAUAUCGCUCAUUCUUCGCACCAUCGAAAUGCGAACAAUCGUCGCGUUCUCAUGACGUUUGCAAUGUCUAUCGGUUGCUCGACGAUACUGUAUAAUAUUCAUGCUGAGAGAUGUUGGUCAAAUGUCGUCCGAACGGAUUUUAGAGAUCAACCGACGAUAUUCGCCAUACCAUUGUUUAUCUACUUUUCUUUUAUCGUGUACUAUUUCGUCAUCGCUGCCACACUCCAAUCUCCCCUCCCUCAUAAUCGCGGGUUAGAAAAUACACGUGCAUUUUAUGAAAGGUAAAAGAAAUGAAAAUAAUGUUUAUAUCUUAUUUUUUAAUUUGUUUUUAGACGUCUGACGGUUUUACUAUUUUCAUUAUUAAAAUAUUAUUUUUUUUUUUACUUUCGUCUCCUCGUAAAUAUUAUUAUAAAUAUGUAUGGUAAUAUUACGCGUGUAUCAUAUGUGCCCCUUUUGAAAUGUACAAUUUUAAACAUGAUAUUUAUUUUUUAAGUUUUAUCUAGUUAUUAAUUGCCUAAUAUUGUUUUCUUAUCGAAAAUAUUCAUCUAGUGAUAUAUAGAUAUAGUUGUAAAAAAUAAAACAAUGUAUUAAAUUGAAAAAAGAACUGAAUAUUGUAAUAACAAUUCAUGUAAUGUUACAUAAUAUUAUAGUUUAUACGACGAGGAGCCCGCCGAUUGGUUGAAACCGUACCACACCACAGUAACUAUAAUUCUAAUAAGUGAUUCUGCUUACUGAUAAUAUCAUUAUUAUUUUAUAAAAUAUCAAAUGAGAGCAAUAAUGUAUGUUGGUUUUUAACAUUAUAUUAUUAUGUAUACUUAUAAAUACCUAUAAUACAUAAUUCAUAUUAUAUUAAGUUGUAUGAUAUUGAUAGAUAAAAACUCUUAAAUUAUAUGUAGUAUGUAAUAUGUAUAUUAUAAUACAUGUGUAUAUUUAUAAAAACUGA